AGUCAAGUGACUAAGCGCAUACGGUGGAUGCCUUGGCAGUCAGAGGCGAUGAAGGACGUAGAAACCUGCGAUAAGCGUUGGGGAGCUGGUAAACAAGCUUUGAUCCAACGAUUUCCGAAUGGGGAAACCCACCUGUCAUCAGACAGGUAUCUUUUACUCAAUACAUAGGUAAAAGAGGCGAACCGGGAGAACUGAAACAUCUAAGUACCCCGAGGAAAAGAAAUCAACCGAGAUUCCCCUAGUAGCGGCGAGCGAACGGGGAGUAGCCCUUAAGCUACUUUGUUGUUAGUGGAAUUAGCUGGAAAGCUAAGCCAUAGUGGGUGAUAGCCCCGUACACGAAAACGGCAUAGUAGUGAAAUCGAGUAGGACGGGACACGUGGUAUCCUGUUUGAACAUGGGGGGACCAUCCUCCAAGGCUAAAUACUCCUGACUGACCGAUAGUGAACCAGUACCGUGAGGGAAAGGCGAAAAGAACCCCUGUGAGGGGAGUGAAAUAGAUCCUGAAACCGUAUGCGUACAAGCAGUGGGAGCAGACUUGUUCUGUGACUGCGUACCUUUUGUAUAAUGGGUCAGCGACUUAAUUUCAGUAGCAAGGUUAACCGAAUAGGGGAGCCGUAGAGAAAUCGAGUCUUAAUAGGGCGUUUAGUUGCUGGGAUUAGACCCGAAACCGAGUGAUCUAUCCAUGUGCAGGUUGAAGGUUAGGUAACACUGACUGGAGGACCGAACCCACUGUCGUUGAAAAGCCAGGGGAUGACGUGUGGAUAGGAGUGAAAGGCUAAUCAAACUCGGAGAUAGCUGGUUCUCCUCGAAAGCUAUUUAGGUAGCGCCUCGUGAAUUACCAUUGGGGGUAGAGCACUGUUUCGGCUAGGGGGUCAUCUCGACUUACCAACCCGAUGCAAACUCCGAAUACCGAUGAGUACAAUCACGGGAGACACACGGCGGGUGCUAACGUCCGUCGUGGAAAGGGAAACAACCCAGACCGCCAGCUAAGGUCCCAAAGUGUAUGUUAAGUGGGAAACGAUGUGGGAAGGCACAGACAGCUAGGAGGUUGGCUUAGAAGCAGCCACCCUUUAAAGAAAGCGUAAUAGCUCACUAGUCGAGUCGGCCUGCGCGGAAGAUGUAACGGGGCUAAAACAUACCACCGAAGCUGCGGAUGCGUGUUCCUAUUUAUAGGUUCAGGCAUGGUAGAGGAGCGUUCUGUAGGCUGUUGAAGCGGAAUUGAGAAGUUCCGUGGAGGUAUCAGAAGUGCGAAUGCUGACAUGAGUAACGAUAAUGCGGGUGAAAAACCCGCACGCCGGAAGACCAAGGGUUCCUGCGCAACGCUAAUCGGCGCAGGGUGAGUCGGCCCCUAAGGCGAGGCUGAAAAGCGUAGUCGAUGGGAAACAGGUUAAUAUUCCUGUACCGCAUAUAACUGCGAUGGGAGGACGGAGAAGGCUAGGCCAGCAACCUAUCGGAUGGUUGUUUAAGGUCGUAGGCUGGACACUUAGGCAAAUCCGGGUGUCCAUUAAGGCUGAGAACUGAUGACGAGGUCUCUUUUACGAGACUGAAGUGGUUGAUGCCAUGCUUCCAGGAAAAGUCCCUAAGCUUCAGGUUAUAUGAGACCGUACCCCAAACCGACACAGGUGGUCAGGUAGAGAAUACCAAGGCGCUUGAGAGAACUCGGGUGAAGGAACUAGGCAAAAUGGUGCCGUAACUUCGGGAGAAGGCACGCUGUUGAGAGUGAUCGGACUUGCUCCGUAAGCUUUUGACAGUCGAAGAUACCAGAUGGCUGCGACUGUUUAUUAAAAACACAGCACUCUGCAAACUCGUAAGAGGACGUAUAGGGUGUGACACCUGCCCGGUGCCGGAAGGUUAAUUGAUGGGGUUAGCUUAGGCGAAGCUCUUGAUCGAAGCCCCGGUAAACGGCGGCCGUAACUAUAACGGUCCUAAGGUAGCGAAAUUCCUUGUCGGGUAAGUUCCGACCUGCACGAAUGGUGUAACGAUGGCCAUGCUGUCUCCACCCGAGACUCAGUGAAAUUGAAAUCGCUGUUAAGAUGCAGUGUAUCCGCGGCUAGACGGAAAGACCCCGUGAACCUUUACUAUAGCUUCACAGUGAACUUUGAGCCUACUUGUGUAGGAUAGGUGGGAGGCUUUGAAACCCGGACGCUAGUUCGGGCGGAGCCAUCCUUGAAAUACCACCCUGGUAUGUUUGAGGUUCUAACUCAGGUCCGUAAUCCGGAUCGAGGACACUGUGUGGUGGGUAGUUUGACUGGGGCGGUCUCCUCCCAAAGAGUAACGGAGGAGCACGAAGGUGUGCUAAGCAUGGUCGGACAUCAUGCGGUUAGUGUAAUGGCAUAAGCGCGCUUAACUGCGAGACAGACACGUCGAGCAGGUACGAAAGUAGGUCAUAGUGAUCCGGUGGUUCUGUAUGGAAGGGCCAUCGCUCAACGGAUAAAAGGUACUCCGGGGAUAACAGGCUGAUACCGCCCAAGAGUUCACAUCGACGGCGGUGUUUGGCACCUCGAUGUCGGCUCAUCACAUCCUGGGGCUGAAGCCGGUCCCAAGGGUAUGGCUGUUCGCCAUUUAAAGUGGUACGCGAGCUGGGUUUAGAACGUCGUGAGACAGUUCGGUCCCUAUCUGCCGUGGACGUUGGAAAUUUGAGAAGAGUUGCUCCUAGUACGAGAGGACCGGAGUGAACGAACCUCUGGUGUUCGGGUUGUUACGCCAGUAGCAUUGCCCGGUAGCUAUGUUCGGACAGGAUAACCGCUGAAAGCAUCUAAGCGGGAAGCCCCCUUCAAGAUAAGAUUUCCCUGGAGCUUCGAGCUCCCUAAAGGGCCCUUAAAGACUAUGAGGUUGAUAGGCUGGGUGUGUAAGCGUUGUGAGGCGUUGAGCUAACCAGUACUAAUUGCCCGUGAGGCUUGACUAU
rnacentral:rRNA from 1 species